rnacentral:piRNA from 1 species
UCACUUGUGUAGUCGAUUGUAUUCAUUGU